rnacentral:rRNA from 1 species
UAUCUCUGUAGAGUCUGCAUAUCAAUAAGCGGAGGAAAAGAAACUAACAAGGAUUCCCCUAGUAACGGCGAGUGAAGCGGGAAGAGCUCAAAUUUGAAAUCUUAAAGGUUUCUACCUUGACGAAUUGUAGUUUAUAGAAGUGUUUUCUGUAGUGGAGUUUCGGUAAAAGUUCUCUGGAAUAGGACAUCAUAGAGGGUGAGAAUCCCGUAUUUGACCAUUUACUUUCCAGCUGUGUGAUACACUUUCAAAGAGUCGGAUUGUUUGGGAAUGCAGUCCAAAAUGGGUGGUCAAAUUUCAUCUAAAGCUAAAUAUUGGCGAGAGACCGAUAGCGAACAAGUACCGUGAGGGAAAGAUGAAAAGAACUUUGAAAAGAGAGUUAAACAGUACGUGAAAUUGUCAAAAGGGAGGCGUUUGACACCAGUGUUGUUUUCUCGAAAAUCAAUUAAAAAGUAUGGGAUUUUGUAUUGUUAAGACUUUAUCAGCUUACGGUACUUUUUUCUUAUUCUUUUUAACGCACUUUUCGUUUAACAAGUCAACAUCAAUUUCUUUUGUUGUAAAAGAGUCAUUGGAAGGUGGCUUUCACUUCGGUGAAAGUGUUUAUAGCCUUUGGCUUCUGCAAUCGGAGAGAUUGAGGUCUGCAGCGUAGAUCCUUCGGGGUUGGAUACGUAGAUGCUAAGUUAUAGUUUUUCAUAGACAACUUGUUGACUAUGAUUAAUCAUGUAGCUUACUCGUUUGCGCUAUUUUACCUACGCUUAGGAUGUUGAUGUGAUACUGCGAGCA